GGAAGCGUGGCCGAGUGGUUGAAGGCGCACGACUCGAAAUCGUGUGGGCUGCAAAGUCUCGGAGGUUCGAAUCCUCUCGCUUCCGCCA
rnacentral:tRNA from 1 species